GACGAACGCUGGCGGCGUGCUUAACACAUGCAAGUCGAACGGAAAGGCCUCUUUCGGGCUGUACUGGUGUGGCGAACGGGUGAGUAAGACGUGAGUAGCUUACCCUUGUCUAUGGGUUAACUACAUGCGACAGGCGGUAAUUACGGAUAGGUGCUCCUGCUACCCGCAGGGGGUAGGAGAGUUUCGGCGGUUGGGGAUGGACUCGCGGCGUAUCCGCUUGGUGUUGGGGAAGUGGCUUACCAAGGCCUUGACGGGUAGACGGACUGUGAGAGUGACAGGCGACACUGGGACUGACGGACGGCCCAGAUUGCUACGGGAGGGAGCAGGGGGGAAGACUGCACGAUGGGUGGAGGCCUGAUGCAGAAGCGCCUCGUGCGGGAUGACGGUCUUAGGGUUGUAAAACGCUUUCGCUCAUGACGAAGCUUUGUGUGACGGUAGUGGGUAAAGAAGCCCCGGCUAACUACGUG
rnacentral:rRNA from 1 species